rfam:Triticum urartu cultivar G1812 contig665244, whole genome shotgun sequence.
AAGAUACUUCCUCCGUUCUGAAUUACUCGUCAUAAAUAUGGAUUUAUCUAGAUGUAUUUUAGUUUUAAUAUAUCUAUUUCUACGACGAGUAAUUUAGAACGAAGGGAGUACUUU